GAUGAAGAACGUAGCAAAAUGCGAUAAGUAAUGUGAAUUGCAGAAUUCAGUGAAUCAUCGAAUCUUUGAACGCACAUUGCGCCCGCCAGUACUCUGGCGGGCAUGCCUGUUCGAGCGUCAUUUCAACCCUCAAGCACAGCUUGGUGUUGGGACUCGCGUUAAUUCGCGUUCCUCAAAUUGAUUGGCGGUCACGUCGAGCUUCCAUAGCGUAGUAGUAAAACCCUCGUUACUGGUAAUCGUCGCGGCCACGCCGUUAAACCCCAUCUUCUGAAUGUUGACCUCGGAUCAGGUAGGAAUACCCGCUGAACUUAAGCAUAUCAAUAAGCGGAGGA
rnacentral:misc_RNA from 1 species